rnacentral:rRNA from 1 species
CCUACGGGAGGCAGCAGUGGGGGAUAUUGGACAAUGGGGGAAACCCUGAUCCAGCGACGCCGCGUGAGUGAAGAAGUAUUUCGGGAUGUUAAGCUCUAUCAGCAGGGGAGAAAGAAAUGACGGUACCUGAGCAAGAAGCCCCGGCUAACUACGUGACAGCAGCAGCGGUAAGACGAAGGGGGCAAGCAUUAUGCGGAAUUACUGGGUGUAAAGGGAGCGUAGACGGGAAUGCAAGUCUGGAGUGAAAGGCGGGGGCGCAACCCGCGGACUGCGCUGGAUACUGUGUAACUGGAGUGCAGGAGAGGCAGGCGGAAUUCGUGGUGUAGCGGUGAAAUGCGUAGAUAUUAGGAGGAACACCAGUGGCGAAGGCGGCUUCCUGGACUGUAACUGACGUUGAGGCUCGAAGGCGAGGGGAGCAAACAGGAUUAGAUACCCGGGUAGUC